AUAUGCUUGUCUCAAAGAUUAAGCCAUGCAUGUCUAAGUCCAAGCUGUGUUCACACGGCGAGACCGCGGACGGCUCAUUAAAUCAGUCGUGGUCCAAAUGGGCCAGUGCAAAUCCUACUUGGAUAACUGUGGUAAUUCCAGAGCUAAUACAUGCAACUGAUAUCCCGAAGGCGGUGUUUGGGCUUGCUUGCCUUGCGCUGCGCUGCUCUGACGGAUGCUUUUAUUAGACCAAGCCGCUGAGGACUUGAGGGUUCGCGCUCUCUUGUCUGACUCGUGUGAUGGUGACUCUGGAUAACCAAAUUCUGACAAGCGCACGUACUUCUCUUCUGAGCGAGACGGCGCUGCCACUUUCGAGUGUCUGCCUUAUCAGCUAUCAACCGUUCGUUAUGCGCGACCGAUGGCUUUGACGGGUAACGGGGAAUCAGGGUUCGAUUCCGGAGAGGCAGCCUGAGAGACGGCUACCACGUCCAAGGACGGCAGCAGGCACGCAAAUUACCCAAUCCCAGCAAAUGGGGGAGGUAGUGACGAAAUCUAACGAUGCGGGCGCCCUUUCUGGGGCCCCGCAAUCGGAAUGGGCACUUUCUAAACAACCUGUUGAGAACCUACUGA
rnacentral:rRNA from 1 species